GGAACUGCCCUGUGGGGACAAGGACGUCCGUCAUCCUCUGCUCCUGCUCACAGUGACACUGAUCUGGUAACGCCCCCAUCCUGGCCUGACCCUGCCAUGGGCACCAGGCUCCUCUGCUGGGUGGUCCUGGGUUUCCUAGGGACAGAUCACACAGGUGCUGGAGUCUCCCAGUCUCCAAGGUACAAAGUCUCAAAGAGGGGACAGGAGGUAGCUCUCAGGUGUGAUCCAAUUUCGGGUCAUGCAGCCCUCUAUUGGUACCAACAGGCCCUGGGGCAGGGCCCAGAGCUUCUGACUUACUUCAAUUAUGAAGCUCAACAAGACAAAUCAGGGCUGCUCAGUGAUCGCUUCUCUGCAGAGAGGCCUGAGGGAUCCGUCUCCACCCUGACGAUCGAACGCACAGAGCAGGGGGACUCGGCCGUGUAUCUCUGUGCCAGCAGCUUAGCCACAGCGUGGCACAGUCGCCUCCUUCCUGCUCAGAAACCUCAUCCUUCUCUCUCCUUGUAG